GGGCGGCUGGCCUAAUGGUAAGGCGUCUGAUUUCGGUUGAGAUGUUUCUCAGUGUUUCUCAGAAAAUUGCAGGUUCGAUCCCUGCGUCGCUCA
rnacentral:tRNA from 2 species